CAGCAGCCGCGGGAAUACCGAGGGUGCGAGCGUUAAUCGGAUUUACUGGGCGUAAAGCGUGCGUAGGCGGCUAAUUGAGUCGGAUGUGAAAUCCCCGAGCUUAACUUGGGAAUUGCAUUCGAUACUGGUUAGCUAGAGUGUGGGAGAGGAUGGUAGAAUUCCAGGUGUAGCGGUGAAAUGCGUAGAGAUCUGGAGGAAUACCGAUGGCGAAGGCAGCCAUCUGGCCUAACACUGACGCUGAGGUACGAAAGCAUGGGGAGCAAACAGGAUUAGAUACCCCUGUAGUCCCUGUCUCUUAUAC
rnacentral:rRNA from 1 species